CCUAUGGGAGGCAGCAGUGAGGAAUAUUGGUCAAUGGCCGUAAGGCUGAACCAGCCAAGUAGCGUGAGGGAAGACUGCCCUAUGGGUUGUAAACCUCUUUUAUGCGGGGAUAAAGGUGUCCACGUGUGGAUGUUUGCAGGUACCGCAUGAAUAAGGACCGGCUAACUCCGUGCCAGCAGCCGCGGUAAUACGGAGGAUGCGAGCGUUAUCCGGAUUUAUUGGGUUUAGAGGGUGCGUAGGCGGACAGUCAAGUCAGCGGUAAAAAUGCGGUGCUCAACGCCGUACAGCCGUUGAAACUGGCAGUCUUGAGUGGGCGAGAGGUAUGCGGAAUGCGUGGUGUAGCGGUGAAAUGCAUAGAUAUCACGCAGAACUCCGAUUGCGAAGGCAGCAUACCGGCGCCCUACUGACGCUGAGGCACGAAAGCGUGGGUAUCGAACAGGAUUAGAUACCCGGGUAGUC
rnacentral:rRNA from 1 species